rnacentral:rRNA from 1 species
GAUCCCCCACACUGGUACUGAGACACGGACCAGACUCCUACGGGAGGCAGCAGUGAGGAAUAUUGGUCAAUGGGUGAGAGCCUGAACCAGCCAUGCCGCGUGAAGGAAGACUGCCCUAUGGGUUGUAAACUUCUUUUCUGCAGGAAGAAAUCACUCUACGUGUAGGGUGUUGCCGGUACUGCAGGAAUAAGCAUCGGCUAACUCCGUGCCAGCAGCCGCGGUAAUACGGAGGAUGCAAGCGUUAUCCGGAUUUAUUGGGUUUAAAGGGUGCGUAGGCGGGCUUGUAAGUCAGUGGUGAAAUGCUGUGGCUUAACCAUAGAAUUGCCAUUGAAACUGCAAGUCUUGAGUACAGUUGAGGUGGGGCGGAAUGAGUAAUUGUAGCGGUGAAAUGCAUAGAUAUUACUCAGAACUCCGAUUGCGUAAGCAGCUUGCUAAACUGUAACUGACGCUGAUGCACGAAAGCGUGGGGAGCGAACAGGAUUAGAUACCCUGGUAGUCCACGCUGUAAACGAUGAGCACUGGUUGUUGGCAAUACACCGUCAGCGACUGAGCGAAAGUAUUAAGUGCUCCACCUGGGGAGUACGUCGGCAACGAUGANACUCAAAGGAAUUGACGGGGGCCCGCACAAGCGGAGGAACAUGUGGUUUAAUUCGAUGAUACGCGAGGAACCUUACCUGGGCUUAAAUGUAGAGUGCAUUGCUUGGAAACAGGCAUUUUCUUCGGAACUCUUUACAAGGUGCUGCAUGGUUGUCGUCAGCUCGUGCCGUGAGGUGUCGGGUUAAGUCCCAUAACGAGCGCAACCCCUAUUGUUAGUANCCAGCACGUAAUGGUGGGGACUCUAGCAAGACUGCCGGUGUAAACCGUGAGGAAGGUGGGGAUGACGUCA